GUAAAUGUGAAGAACAGAAUAGUAAUUUAAGGUUUAGCCGUUUAUAGAGAGCUCUUGAUUGCUGGGAAAGAGUAACGGCACUUAGGUGAACACAUCUGGGAGCAGGUUUAUUGAAGGAAGAAGUAGGUAAAUUCGGGACGGCCCGUUAAAGCCGGACAGUCAAUUUUAUGACUGGUUGAGGUUGAUAUUGUGAGAUAUCAAUAAAACUGAGGUGGAACCACGUGAAUGAUAUUCCCGUCCUCUGA
rnacentral:ncRNA from 1 species